CUGUCGUCAGCUCGUGUCGUGAGAUGUUCGGGUUAAGUCCCGCAACGAGCGCAACCCUUUGUCAUUAGUUGCUACAUUUGGUUGGGCACUCUAAUGAGACUGCCGGUGACAAGCCGGAGGAAGGUGGGGAUGACGUCAAGUCCUCAUGGGCCCUUAUAGGUGGGGCUACACACGUCAUACAAUGGCUGGUACAAAGGGUUGCCAACCCGCGAGGGGGAGCUAAUCCCACAAAGCCAGUCGUAGUCCGGAUCGUAGUCUGCAACUCGACUACGUGAAGUCGGAAUCGCUAGUAAUCGUGGAUCAGAAUGUCACGGUGAAUACGUUCCCGGGUCUU
rnacentral:rRNA from 1 species